rnacentral:rRNA from 1 species
AAAACUACCGGUUCUAGUUCGAUCACCGAAGUCAAGUAUCAUCGGGCGCUGUCAGUACUUGGGAGGGUGACCACCUGGGAACACCGCGUGCCGUU